rnacentral:rRNA from 1 species
GAUGAACGCUAGCGGCAGGCUUAACACAUGCAAGUCGAGGGGCAGCAUGAGGGUUAGCAAUAACCCUUGAUGGCGACCGGCGCAAGGGUGCGUAACGCGUGAGCAACUUGCCCGUUUCAGGGGGAUAACCGGUGGAAACGCCGACUAAUACCCCAUGGUGAUGGUUUGAGGCAUCUCUUUCCAUCUAAAGAAUUUCGGAAACGGAUAGGCUCGCGUGACAUUAGCUAGAUGGCGGGGUAACGGCCCACCAUGGCGACGAUGUCUAGGGGUUCUGAGAGGAAGGUCCCCCANACUGGAACUGAGACACGGUCCAGACUCCUACGGGAGGCAGCAGUGAGGAAUAUUGGGUCCAAUGGUCUGACGACUGAACCAGCCAUGCCGCGUGAAGGCCACGGCCCUAUGGGUCUUAAACUUCUUUGCAAGGGAGCCAAUAAGGUCUACGUGUAGAUCGAUGAGAGUACCUUGCGAAUAAGCAUCGGCUAACUCCGUGCCAGCAG